rnacentral:rRNA from 1 species
AGAGGGUGCAAGCGUUAAUCGGAAUUACUGGGCGUAAAGGGCGCGUAGGUGGUUAAUUAAGUCAGAUGUGAAAGCCCUGGGCUUGACCUAGGACUUGCGUUUGAAACUGAUUGACUAGAGUUUGGGAGAGGGAAGUGGAAUUUCCGGUGUAGCGGUGAAAUGCGUAGAUAUCGGAAGGAACAUCAGUGGCGAAGGCGACUUCCUGGCCCGAUACUGACACUGAGGCGCGAAAGCGUGGGUAGCGAACAGGGAUUAGAUACCCUGGUAGUCCACGCAGUAAAUGAUGAGAAACUAGAUGUUAGGGUGCUUGUCACCUUAGUAUCGCAGCUAACGCGAUAAGUUCUCCGCCUGGGAGUACGGUCGCAAGAUUA